UCUGCCUCUGCAAUAGGCAUUAAGAGUGAUGUCAGACGCUCAUUUGCUUAAUGCAAUAAGUUUCUCUCUGCGUCAUACGUUUAUCAAUUAAAACGUCCCCUCGUAAUUCCUGUGUACCCGUUUAAAUACAUUGUCCGUGCUGGAAAUCAUGCUCGCUCAGAUAUUCCUCCUCAACGAUACAUGUAUACCUCAUUUAAAUUGCCCUACCACAACGAUAUUUUAACAUUGAAGAGAUAUUUCGUAAUUGAAUUAUUGCGAAUUAAAGUUUGGUGCAUAAAUAAACACGGUCAGUGCUAUUUGCAUUAAUGGCGUCACUUUGUGCGAGAGGAGCAAACUAGAUAAAUCCACAGAAUAAACUUCCAAAAAAUCAUGCCAGCUUGGUAGCUAUUAGCCGGAUAUCCUGUGCUACUGAAAUGUUUUGAAGAGGCUGAUCUUCCUGAGGAGGCUAAAGAGCUUUGGGUUGGAAACCAAAACUCUGCUGAACUUCUGCCGCUACACCAGUGAGAACAUCCUGACUGAAUCCAUCGCAAUGUGAUUGGGCAGCCCAACUGCUCUGGACCACAGCAUACUGCAAAGGACUGUCCAGAGUGCUUCAAAGGUCAUCGGCACAGAUCUUCCACAGCUUCAGUCCGUCCACCUCUGUCUGCUGCCAGAUGAGGGCAGCAUCAUCAGGGACACCAUAUGUCCAGUUCAUACCCUCUGCUCAAUCCUGCCCUCUGUGAAACCAUUAGGUUGCUAAACACCUGCUGACCUGUACCUGUCCAUCCCACAACCAGUACAAUAUGUAGCUCUAUCAAUGUACUUUCAGCACAUUGCAUUGAUCUGCACAUCAUCCCCCAUAUUACUCUACUUAUUUAUUAAAACAUCUUUUUAUUCUUG